UUUCCGUAGGUGAACCUGCGGAAGGAUCAUUCAUAAUAAAGUGUUUUAUGCACUUUUUAAAAAUCCAUAUCCACCUUGUGUGCAAUGUUAGAUCUCGUCAAUCUUGGCGAGAUUUUUAUACAUCAACUCAUUCUUUAGCUAAUUUGUCUGAAAAAUAUUAUGAAUACUUAAUUCAAAAUACAACUUUCAACAACGGAUCUCUGGGCUCUCACAUCGAUGAAGAACGCAGC
rnacentral:misc_RNA from 1 species